rnacentral:tRNA from 1 species
GGGUCUGUAGCUCAGGUGGUUAGAGCGCACCCCUGAUAAGGGUGAGGUCGGUGGUUCGAGUCCUCCCAGCCCCACCA